GCCUACGACCAUAUCACCCUGAAUGACGCCCGAUGCACGGACGGACACAUUAAUCUAAGCAUGGUCGAGCCUGGUUAGUUCUUGGAUGGGAGACUGCCCUUGGGAAAAUUAUUGAAAGGGUGUUGUAGGCC
rnacentral:rRNA from 1 species